rnacentral:rRNA from 1 species
UACGUAGGGUGCGAGCGUUGCCCCGGAAUUAUUGGGCGUAAAGAGCUCGUAGGCGGUCUGUCGCGUCGAUCGUGAAAACUUGGGGCUUAACCCUGAGCUUGCGGUCGAUACGGGCAUGACUGGAGUUCGGCAGGGGAGACUGGAAUUCCUGGUGUAGCGGUGAAAUGCGCAGAUAUCAGGAGGAACACCGGUGGCGAAGGCGGGUCUCUGGGCCGAUACUGACGCUGAGGAGCGAAAGCGUGGGGAGCGAACAGG